CAGAAAAAAUAACUUUGUGUUGCGAGAGAAAUUGACACAAACGGAGCAAGACACUACUACUCUUUUAUUUUCCAGCAGAUUGUUUUUCUACGAUGCGACGGAUGACGAAAUCGGAAAGCCUGAUUACUGAUUUCCGAUUGCUGCACAGCACUCGGAGAUAGAGAUUAAAAGAUGGCAUGAGAUUUCCCGACAGUGACGUUAAUUUGCUCCCCAGGGGGCCAUGUCUCCCACUGAUAAGGCCUUUGAUGCUGACCCGGGAUAACCUCACCUCGCUCAUUACCUCAUGCUUAGGCUAUAGUAGCGAUGCACUACGAUCGCCUGGUAACUGGUGGCGAAGAUUGCGCGAUGCUGUUUUGGGUUGAAAAACAUGUUAUUUUCGAAAAGAGCUGCCCAGAUAAGCCAAGAAAAGUGCGAGUGGCUGCGUUGAUUCAACCCACAUCGCUGUUCGAUAUUUGUGAAAUGGAAUUUUACUUGAGAAUACAAUAAAAUUGUUUUCAAUGACUGUCGUUUUACUUUAGUUCCUUUAUAUUAAGGAGUUAAACGUUUGAUGACAAGUUUUUUCUAGCUCUUAAUAUUUUAA